AGUGAACGCUGGCGAUAGGCCUAACACAUGCAAGUCGAACGGCAGCACAGUAAGAGCUUGCUCUUACGGGUGGCGAGUGGCGGACGGGUGAGGAAUACAUCGGAAUCUACUUUUUCGUGGGGGAUAACGUAGGGAAACUUACGCUAAUACCGCAUACGACCUACGGGUGAAAGCAGGGGAUCUUCGGACCUUGCGCGAUUGAAUGAGCCGAUGUCGGAUUAGCUAGUUGGCGGGGUAAAGGCCCACCAAGGCGACGAUCCGUAGCUGGUCUGAGAGGAUGAUCAGCCACACUGGAACUGAGACACGGUCCAGACUCCUACGGGAGGCAGCAGUGGGGAAUAUUGGACAAUGGGCGCAAGCCUGAUCCAGCCAUACCGCGUGGGUGAAGAAGGCCUUCGGGUUGUAAAGCCCUUUUGUUGGGAAAGAAAAGCAGCAGGUUAAUACCCCGCUGUUCUGACGGUACCCAAAGAAUAAGCACCGGCUAACUUUGUG
rnacentral:rRNA from 1 species